AAGUCGAACGCAGUAGCAAUACUGAGUGGCAAACGGGUGAGUAUAAUGUGGGCAUCUGCCUUUUGGUUUGGAAUAACACGGGGAAACUUGUGCUAAUACCGAAUAAGCCCUUACGGGGAAAGUUUUAAUGCCGAAAGAUGAGCCUGCACUUGAUUAGCUAGUUGGUAAGGUAAAGGCUUACCAAGGCUACGAUCAAUAGCUGUUCUUAAAGGAAGACCAGCCACAUUGGGACUGAGACACGGCCCAGACUCCUACGGGAGGCAGCAGUGGGGAAUCUUGCACAAUGGGGGAAACCCUGAUGCAGCGAUGCCGCGUGAGUGAAGAAGGCCUUUGGGUUGUAAAACUCUUUCGUCGGGGAAGAAAAUGACUGUACCCGAAUAAGAAGGUCCGGCUAACUUCGUGCCAGCGGCCGCGGUAAUACGAAGGGACCUAGCGUAGUUCGGAAUUACUGGGCUUAAAGAGCUCGUAGGUGGUUAAAAAAGUUGAUGGUGAAAUCCCAAGGCUCAACCUUGGAACUGCCAUCAAAACUUUUUAGCUAGAGUGUGAUAGAGGUAAGUGGAAUUUCUAGUGUAGAGGUGAAAUUCGUAGAUAUUAGAAAGAACACCAAAUGCGAAGGCAACUUACUGGGUCACUACUGACACUGAGGAGCGAAAGCAUGGGUAGCGAAGAGGAUUUAGAUACCCUCGUAGUCCACGCCGUAAACGAUGUGUGCUAGACGUUGG
rnacentral:rRNA from 1 species